rnacentral:ncRNA from 1 species
GGACCUAGCGCCGUCACCGGUCCUAGCCCGCUGCUGGCACGUACAGUUAACCUUCGACAGGCCCGCAAACGCGUCCUCCGCCGCGUCCGCGCGCGCGUGUGGACCGCGAUACCGGUCGGCGACGCUACUGCUCUGGGUACUCUUAGGACCCGUCUUGAAACACGGACCAAGAUGUCUAACAUGUACGCGAUUCAUUGGGACUUGUAAUGGUAUACCUAAACGCGAAAUGAAGGUGAAGGUCGGCCCUGGUUGUCGACCGAGGGAGGAUGGGCCGCGUCGCGAUGCGGCUCCGCACUCCCGGGGCGUCUCGUUCUCAUCGCGAGAAGAGGCGCACCCAGAGCGUACACGUCGGACCCGAAAGAUGGUGAACUAUGCCUGGUCAGGACGAAGUCAGGGGAAACCCUGAUGGAGGUGCGUAGCGAUUAUGACGUGCAAAUCGAUCGUCGGAACU